UACUGUCUUUCAUGUACAUGUACCACUAUAAGUACAUAAAAAUAACAUUUUAAGAAAACUAUUAUAUGCAUGUAAAUUAAUGCUAUGUUUGUGAAAUACUGAUUGUCAGUAUUUAUAAUUAUAAUAUUGAUUUUUUGUAAUUUUUUUAUGUUCUAGGUACCGGUUUUCUGAGCAACAAUGUGGGAAGGCAGCAGUGGUCCACCGUCUCAGUUUUGCCACAGUCCAGGGUCAGCACCAAGCUACAUGUAUAGGACUCCUACCUAAUUACUAAAAGUAUCAUUAUGAAGAAUUUUACAAGACUUCUUGAUGACUGGAAAGACAUAUUAAUUCUGAUUGAAUUUACACGUGGUUGAUAAUAGCUUUGUCAACACAAUAGCCAAAUAUGAACCUAGUAUACCAUUUAAGCAUUAUUUAACAAAUAUAAGUCAGACAGUUUAAAAUUUGAUGAUCCUAUAAGUAAAGGAAAAAUUACAGUCUUUAGAUAUAUUCAAUUCAUCUCAGUUGUUUUUUAUGCAUAUGCAUGAUUGUACAUGUAUAAAUACAUGUAUAUGACUUUUUUAAUCAAGUAUACAUAUAUAGCUGAUGUAGUGACAUGGAUAUAAUCAGAAUUGAUAAUAUGUGUAUAGGUAUUCCGUAUUACUUUAUCUAGGUUGGAUCUUGAAAGCAGGUGUAUGGUACACUGUAUCAUAAAGAUGAUUUUUUUCACUCUUUGUUUACAGUUACUGUCAUGAAGGACAUACGAAGAGAUUUUUUUCUUUGAUUCCUUUUACUUAUAUAUAUAGUAGUCUCCUGGGGCCAUAAUACAAUCACCUAGUAACAAUAUUGUUUGAAUUAUAUACCAUAGAUGGGUUUCUGUGUGCACUGAUUUACUUGUACUCAUCCAUGUUCAUGUACAAAUACAAUUGCAUUUUGUAUAUGUUUGUGCAUUUGCUGAUAAUUUCAAGCACCAUAAAAUCUGUUGUAUUAAUUCAUUUUGUAAACUGCAGCAUAUUUUGACAGAUGGGGUAUGGUUACAUAAUUAUAUACUAGAAAAAUGUAUACGGUAUAUCCCAUUUCAUUUUCUUGAGCGGAAGGGGGGGGGGGGGGUCAGUGCCUAUGCACAUGAGUAUUCUACGUUAAUAAGUUUGCAUUUUACACUUACCCUACAGACUGCCCCUCCUCUGUAAUUGUUUUUGUUCAUGAUCGAAUAUUAAUUCAUAUACAUGUACCAAUUGAUCCAAUAAAUGUAAAUGAUACUUGU
rnacentral:sRNA from 1 species